rnacentral:lncRNA from 1 species
UGGGAGGUGACCAUCAAAUUUGCCUGAUGAAUGAACUCAAGAACAGGGAUGACUCGCUUUUGAAGUUUCUGUUUUCUUUCCUGGUUCCAUUCUACUGACCUGGCAGCUUUUCUUUGUCAUUUUUACCUAAUAAUCACUGUUCUCACUGUUGUUGUAUUAUUUGCCUCACUUCAUAUUGCAUUUGGUUUCAUACGCCAUGAACUGCCAUCCAAAAAAUAUACUUUUCACAACAGAGUAAAGAAAACUACUUCCUCCUCAAACAUAAAAUCUUAAAUUAGUUAAUAUCUGGCAAACAUAAGCACAUGAAUACUGGUAUGACUCCGAUAAUAACAUAUCAACGACAUCAUAAGAAGGGUUCCCAACUGUCAGAAGGUGAACUGACGGGGUCAGUAACCGACAGAGGAGUGGGACCGACGGGGUCAGUAACAGACAGAAGAGUGGGACCGGUCCCAAGAAAUGGUUAGUGGUAAUGGCAAACAAGGGACCAAGGAAGUAUAAGUAGGGAGGGAGGUUGGCAAGAGGGGGCAUUCAGGGAGAACGGACCAAGUGGAGAGUGGGAGGAUCUCUCGAAUAUCCUCCAAGGUGAUCAGUCACUCUGACUGGUCAUUUCUACCCUCUGUGUUCUUAUUCUAUUGUACUUGUUUCUCUGUUCUAGGAGUGCUUCCUUUUCAGUUCCAAUUGGUGUUCUACCAAAUACUAAUUGAUUAUAAUACUUGCACUCUUUUCUUCAAGAAAGUGUCAUGCCAUGAGAUAUUAUAGAUACCUUGUGAGGAGACAUAGCCUAGUGCCUUGCCACAUGAGGUCAAAUCGGCAUUUUUUUAUACUUCCUUUCAAUCUAAUACAGCUACUAGAAUCACAAACCAUCCUCAAAAAUAAAUAUAACAUAGGCUACGCUCCUGUUAACAUCAAAUCCGUUUCAAAUAACAAGAUUCAUGUCAGAAAUAACACUCUCCCCGGGGAGCCACCGUUUCGGGUGGCUCUCUCUCCUUCCUUUCAAAAUAAUAAUAAUAAUAAUAAUAAUAAUAAUAAUAAUAAUAACACUCUCCUGAUGUAACCUUUGACUUCCUAAUUAAGUUGGAUGUUCAUCCGUCCAUAUUAUCCCAUAAAUUAUAUCAUAUGAUUUUAUCUUAGUCCUCCUACUGAUCUUGAAAGUCUUGAAUUCAAAAGCAUCCUUCCAUAAUCCCAACCCAAAAUUAAAUCCAAUGAUAUUUAUCUCCUGUAAAAAAAACAACAACUCCAUAAAGACAAUAAGAAAAAAAAUCCUCGAAUAUCCAGGGACCACUCAUCCACCUCAUCCACCUCAAGGAUAGAAAGAUACAAACUUAAAUCAUGCUCAAUAAAAAGCAGCUGAAAUGAAAAAAUAAUCUGCUUCCAGCAUUCAUAUUCAUAUUAGUUGUGCCCAAUCUGUCUGCAUUUUAUAAUGUAUAUAUGAUACUUUUUGGAAGUACUUACUUUUCUAAUAUUUAUCAAAGAGCGUAAAUGAAGAUCUACCAUCUGAGUAAAAAGGUAGAAAAAACCAUGAAAUAGUCCUUUUCGUGAGCAUUAGAAUUUAUUUUAGUUUAAAAAGACAACGAGGAAAAGAAUAUGUGCCAUUCUUGAAGUUAAACUCAGAUAUCUUCUCCCUGCACAUUAAAGAGUGUUAAUGGUGACAGUAUUGCAAUAAAAUCAAAGGAGGAAAAGACACAGUAGACAGAACCUUGUAGCCUCAGUGAAUUAUUAGCCUUAGGACGUCUGGACAGACAUAUGUAUGCAUACAUACAUACAGAUAAUACCAGAAGGAAUGUUUCCCCAGAUCUCCCGGAAAAAUUUAUCAAGGAUCAUUAAAACGUGGAUCAAAGAUUGAAUUUUAACAUAAACAUGGAUCAUAGUACCCGCUGAGUUUUUAGGAUAAAGGGGAAAUUAAUAUUUCAGUCUCAUGUUUCUUAGUCAUAAUACAAAAACAUGAACCUUGUUUCAACAUGAGAUGUUAAAAGAGAAAAACGACGGCUGUAGGACAUAGAUACGUGAAUUUCAAGAAAAAAUAAUGCCAAUGGAGUUUCAUGACUUGAUUGGACACUCGCGGGCAGUCCGUAGGAAUGUGUACGCGCUACAUGUCUUAUCAUUCUGUGGUGCGUGUACUCUCCGUACACUGUAUUAUUUGAUUUUUAUAAGAAGAUCACAGAAGCACUCAUAAAAGACGAAGAACAGACCAAAAUAAUUUAAUUCUCCGAUUAACGCAUCGAUUGAGUCCUUGAAACAUACCGGUGUCCCUAGCAAGACAUUUGUGAUGCUCGAGACCCUCCACUCGAGAUGAACCCUGAGAGAAAGUACGCUCUUUAUGAGAACGAAACCGGUAAAUUCAGCUGAGCAAAGAGCAUGCACUCUCCAUGGAAGAGCUCGGAAACGCGGUCGGAGGAAGCCAUGAUUUCAGAACACAGAUCGCCCCGGCGGAGCAAAUGAAAAGCAGGGGGCAGAAUCGGCGAGCAGAGGAGAAAAGAGGUGGGCAGGGGCAGCGGGCAUUACCCUGCGAAAGAAGAUCUGCAGGCGAUCAUCAGCGUCCAGCCCCAGGGGCUCCGACCGACCCGCAGCAGCCAGUAGGCGGGAGUCCUUCCGAAGCCGUUGCUCGCGGUAGUUCGUGAACCUUCAUCACCUCCUCGUUUCACUUAUUUACGAC